rnacentral:tRNA from 1 species
GCCUCUGUAGCUCAGCGGAUAGAGCGCCGGCCUACGAAGCCGGAUGCGGAGGUUCGAUUCUUCCCAGAGGCA